rnacentral:rRNA from 1 species
UACGUAGGGUGCGAGCGUUAAUCGGAAUUACUGGGCGUAAAGCGUGCGCAGGCGGUUCGUUGUGUCGGCGGUGAAAGCCCCGGGCUUAACCUGGGAAUGGCCGUUGAAACUGGCGAACUGGAGUGUGGCAGAGGGGGGUGGAAUUCCGCGUGUAGCAGUGAAAUGCGUAGAGAUGUGGAGGAACACCGAUGGCGAAGGCAGCCCCCUGGGCCAAAACUGACGCUCAGGCACGAAAGCGUGGGGAGCAAACAGG